CCCAUUAGUUGCUUGGAGAACUAUUAAAGAACACAUAUGCAAGGGAAGAAUGGUAUAGAGACUUUGCACUCUUUGUUCAAGAGAAACGCAGGACAAGCAAACUCCUUGCUAUGGGCAGGACUGAUGCUCCGAAUCUCAGAAGAAAGGCUUUAAUACCAGUGGUUAAAGUGGAAUUGACAAAUUAGCAUCAGUCCACAGAACGUAAGAAAAUUACUCUGAAUAUUGCAGCCCUUCAGCAUUUGGAAUUUCCAUUGCUUGCAGGUCUGCUUUGCAAAGGAAAAAAUCUUACUUCGUAGGCUUUCGAGGAAUGUUCCUCUUUGAAGAAAUAAUUCAAACCCAUCAGUUUGUUCUGGAGCGUUAUUAGAGACCUUCACCGCUGCACUCUGGCCGUUUGUACCCUUCUGCAGAGAGUGAACUAGUGCCAUGUUUCCUGUGGAUUUCAUGACUGCAUUAUCCAGGCAGUAUUAAAAUCUGUUCAUGCCAAGUCUUUGGAACACCAACCUGUUGUGGACGCAGUGUCAUGUUUCAUGGGACCUGGUUACAUUACGGAAAAAGAUGUUUGCAUCGUAGACUACUUAGCUCUUCUUUGAAACACUGAACUUUCUGACAAGCAGUAGGAGGUAAAAAGGGAAAAAAAAAUACUACAAAUCUCCAGGCUUUUGAAUAAAACAUCAGGGAAUGCAAUAAACACGCCCAGGGACUCCUCCAGAUGUCCUAGCGUUGGGCAGGGAAGCAGAGUCUUCACCAGCUCUGGGCUCUUCCAAGRCAGACUGGCAGGAUUAAGUGCCAAGAGUCCAAAUGAAUUUGGUCUGCACAUUUCAAGAAGCACUUAUGUUUUCUGGCAUUGCUAGUGUGGAAACAAAGAAAUGACAAGGAUUGUGUGGAGGUAAGAGAUCGUCAGAUGAAAAAUGAUUUCGUCAACACGUAAGCCUGCAAGGGACUGCCUAAUCCACCCGCCUGCACAGAAGCAGCAUCAGGUGUAGUUGCACUAUCCUACAAUUUUUAUUUUUGAAGAUCWUCUCUGCAAACUACCUAAGGAGUCUGUUCUCCUGCCCUUUUAACYAGAAAAACAACUAUUUUAUGUCCAACCAGCAAAAGUCCCCCUGUCUUAGAAAUAAUGGAAUGUAAUGUCACUGUGGAGUAAAAUUAUUUGAAGUCUUUGGAAUUUAUGUAUUCAGUUGUUAAAAACUGCAUGUCUAAUCCUCGGAAAUAGUAGAUGAGUGCUUGAUAAAUUUAAAUAAGUCAAUAACAAAUAUUAAUAGGAAACAGUAAGAACUGAUUUUACCCCCAAAUGCAUGCU
rnacentral:lncRNA from 1 species